rnacentral:rRNA from 1 species
AUACGGAGGGUGCAAGCGUUACUCGGAAUCACGGGGCGUAAAGCGCGCGCAGGCGGUCUUUUAAGUUGGAUGUGAAAGCCUACGGCUCAACCGUAGAACUGCAUCCAAAACUAUUAGACUAGAGUGUGGGAGAGGAAGAUGGAAUUAGUUGUGUAGGGGUAAAAUCCGUAGAGAUAACUAGGAAUACCAAAAGCGAAGGCAAUCUUCUGGAACACUACUGACGCUGAGGCGCGAAAGCGUGGGGAGCAAACGGGAUUAGAUACCCUAGUAGUCC